CCGCCGCCCCUCUUCUUCUUGCUCUUGCUCUCUCUCUCUCUCUCUCGAUUGCUCGUCGUCUGGUUGAUGAGUUGAUGUGUUGUUGGUGUGGAGGUAGUAGAGAGAGGAGGGUGUGGGGGAGGGGAGGAGGGGGAGGAGUAUUUUAUUCUUUGGGAGGGCAGCAGCGUCUUGAUCUCGAAAUGAUAGCGUGCAACAUGAAAAAGGCAAUAAAGUGGCCUU
rnacentral:lncRNA from 1 species